GAACUAUAGUGUGGGAAAUAUCUUAGCAAGUCUCUGUACCUCUCCCACACAUCAUACAUGCUCUCAUCAUCAAACUGCAUAAAAGAAGAAAUAUCAUUAUGCAU
rnacentral:snoRNA from 1 species